UCCGUAGGCGGGCAAUUAAGUCAGAGGUGAAAUCCCACAGCUCAACUGUGGAACUGCCUUUGAUACUGGUUGUCUUGAGUUAUAGUGAAGUAGAUAGAACAUGUAGUGUAGCGGUGAAAUGCAUAGAUAUUACAUAGAAUACCGAUUGCGAAGGCAGUCUACUAACUGUAUACUGACGCUAAUGGACGAAAGCGUGGGGAGCGAACAGGAUUAGAUACCCUGGUAGUCC
rnacentral:rRNA from 1 species